rnacentral:rRNA from 1 species
GAGGUUGGGAGAGGGAUGCGGAAUUCCAGGUGUAGCGGUGAAAUGCGUAGAUAUCUGGAGGAACACCGGUGGCGAAGGCGGCAUCCUGGACCAAUACUGACACUGAGGAGCGAAAGCCAGGGGAGCAAACGGGAUUAGAUACCCCGGUAGUCCUGGCCCUAAACGAUGAAUGCUUGGUGUGGCGGGUAUCGAUCCCUGCCGUGCCGAAGCUAACGCAUUAAGCAUUCCGCCUGGGGAGUACGGUCGCAAGGCUGAAACUCAAAUGAAUUGACGG